rnacentral:misc_RNA from 1 species
AACGCACGAGACCUGCGGACCUGCGGAAGGAUCAUUAAAGUGCCAGCGGGACACCCCGCUAAAGGCCCCACACUUGUCUACCGAACCACGUUGCCUCGGCGGGACCGCCCCCCUAGGGGGGCCGCCGGGGGGAUUUAAACCCCCCUGGUCAGCGCCCGCCGGAGGACAUAUAACCAAAACACCCUGUAAUAGUGAGUAGUCUGAGCGAUUAUUUAAAUGAAUCAAAACUUUUAACAACGG